rnacentral:rRNA from 1 species
GAUGAAGGACGUGCUAAUCUGCGAAAAGCGCCGGCGAGGUGAUAUGAACCUUUGACCCGGCGAUGUCCGAAUGGGGAAACCCAGUGCAAUCCGUUGCACUAUCGUUAACUGAAUACAUAGGUUAACGAGGCGAACCGGGGGAACUGAAACAUCUAAGUACCCCGAGGAAAAGAAAUCAACCGAGAUUCCCCCAGUAGCGGCGAGCGAACGGGGAGCAGCCCGGAGUCUGAAUCAGCUUGUGUGUUAGUGGAACGGUCUGGAAAGUCCGACGGUACAGGGUGAUAGUCCCGUACACGAAAGCACACUUGCUGUGAACUCGAAGAGUAGGGCGGGACACGUGGUAUCCUGUCUGAAUAUGGGGGGACCAUCCUCCAAGGCUAAAUACUCCUGACUGACCGAUAGUGAACCAGUACCGUGAGGGAAAGGCGAAAAGAACCCCGGCGAGGGGAGUGAAAAAGAACCUGAAACCGUGUACGUACAAGCAGUGGGAGCCUCUUUAUGGGGUGACUGCGUACCUUUUGUAUAAUGGGUCAGCGACUUAUAUUCUGUAGCAAGGUUAACCGUAUAGGGGAGCCGAAGGGAAACCGAGUCUUAACUGGGCGUUAAGUUGCAGGGUAUAGACCCGAAACCCGGUGAUCUAGCCAUGGGCAGGUUGAAGGUUGGGUAACACUAACUGGAGGACCGAACCGACUAAUGUUGAAAAAUUAGCGGAUGACCUGUGGCUGGGGGUGAAAGGCCAAUCAAACCGGGAGAUAGCUGGUUCUCCCCGAAAGCUAUUUAGGUAGCGCCUCGUGAAYUCAUCUUCGGGGGUAGAGCACUGUUUCGGCUAGGGGGCCAUCCCGGCUUACCAACCCGAUGCAAACUACGAAUACCGAAGAAUGUUAUCACGGGAGACACACGGCGGGUGCUAACGUCCGUCGUGAAGAGGGAAACAACCCAGACCGCCAGCUAAGGUCCCAAAGUCAUGGUUAAGUGGGAAACGAUGUGGGAAGGCACAGACAGCCAGGAUGUUGGCUUAGAAGCAGCCAUCAUUUAAAGAAAGCGUAAUAGCUCACUGGUCGAGUCGGCCUGCGCGGAAGAUGUAACGGGGCUAAACCAUGCACCGAAGCUGCGGCAGCGACACUAUGUGUUGUUGGGUAGGGGAGCGUUCUGUAAGCCGUUGAAGGUGUGCUGUGAGGCAUGCUGGAGGUAUCAGAAGUGCGAAUGCUGACAUAAGUAACGAUAAAGCGGGUGAAAAGCCCGCUCGCCGGAAGACCAAGGGUUCCUGUCCAACGUUAAUCGGGGCAGGGUGAGUCGACCCCUAAGGCGAGGCCGAAAGGCGUAGUCGAUGGGAAACAGGUUAAUAUUCCUGUACUUGGUGUUACUGCGAAGGGGGGACGGAGAAGGCUAUGUCAGCCGGGCGACGGUUGUCCCGGUUUAAGCAUGUAGGCGGAGGUUCCAGGUAAAUCCGGUACCUUAUUAACGCUGAGGUGUGAUGACGAGGCACUACGGUGCUGAAGUGAUAAAUGCCCUGCUUCCAGGAAAAGCCUCUAAGCAUCAGGUAACACGAAAUCGUACCCCAAACCGACACAGGUGGUCAGGUAGAGAAUACCAAGGCGCUUGAGAGAACUCGGGUGAAGGAACUAGGCAAAAUGGUGCCGUAACUUCGGGAGAAGGCACGCUGAUGUGUAGGUGAAGCCCCUGCGGGYGGAGCUGAAAUCAGUCGAAGAUACCAGCUGGCUGCAACUGUUUAUUAAAAACACAGCACUGUGCAAACACGAAAGUGGACGUAUACGGUGUGACGCCUGCCCGGUGCCGGAAGGUUAAUUGAUGGGGUUAGCGGCAACGCGAAGCUCUUGAUCGAAGCCCCGGUAAACGGCGGCCGUAACUAUAACGGUCCUAAGGUAGCGAAAUUCCUUGUCGGGUAAGUUCCGACCUGCACGAAUGGCGUAAUGAUGGCCAGGCUGUCUCCACCCGAGACUCAGUGAAAUUGAACUCGCUGUGAAGAUGCAGUGUACCCGCGGCAAGACGGAAAGACCCCGUGAACCUUUACUAUAGCUUGACACUGAACACUGGUCCUUGAUGUGUAGGAUAGGUGGGAGGCUUUGAAGCGUGGACGCCAGUCUGCGUGGAGCCAACCUUGAAAUACCACCCUUUAAUGGCUGGUGUUCUAACGURGACCCGUAAUCCGGGUUGCGGACAGUGUCUGGUGGGUAGUUUGACUGGGGCGGUCUCCUCCCAAAGAGUAACGGAGGAGCACGAAGGUUGGCUAAUCCUGGUCGGACAUCAGGAGGUUAGUGCAAUGGCAUAAGCCAGCUUGACUGCGAGCGUGACGGCGCGAGCAGGUGCGAAAGCAGGUCAUAGUGAUCCGGUGGUUCUGAAUGGAAGGGCCAUCGCUCAACGGAUAAAAGGUACUCCGGGGAUAACAGGCUGAUACCGCCCAAGAGUUCAUAUCGACGGCGGUGUUUGGCACCUCGAUGUCGGCUCAUCACAUCCUGGGGCUGAAGUAGGUCCCAAGGGUAUGGCUGUUCGCCAUUUAAAGUGGUACGCGAGCUGGGUUUAGAACGUCGUGAGACAGUUCGGUCCCUAUCUGCCGUGGGCGCUGGAGAAUUGAGGGGGGCUGCUCCUAGUACGAGAGGACCGGAGUGGACGCAUCACUGGUGUUCGGGUUGUCAUGCCAAUGGCA